rnacentral:rRNA from 1 species
GACGAACGCUGGCGGCGUACUUAAUACAUGCAAGUCGAGCGAACAGACCCGGCGCUUGUUCCUUUCACGUUUGCCGCGCACGUGAGUGUCACAUGUGUAUCAUCUCCCUAUCUGUCUGGUAUAACUUCGGGACACCGGCUCUUACCCCGUAUAAUAUACUGAUCCGUAUGGUUCAAUAGUGAAAUACGGUUUUUCUGUCUCUUCUAGCUGCUUCCGCGCCGCAUUAGCUAGUUGGUAAGGUAACGGCUUACCACGGCGACGAUGCGUAGCCGACCUGAGAGGGUGAUCGGCCACACUGGAACUGAGACACGGUCAAGACUCCUACGGGAGGCAGCAGUAGGGAAUCUUCCGCAAUGGGCGAAAGCCUGACGGAGCAACGCCGCGUGAGUGAUGAAGGUCUUCGGAUCGUAAAACUCGGUUAUUAGGGAAGAACAAAUGUGUAAGUAACUAUGCACGUCUUGACGGUACCUAAUCAGAAAGCCACGGCUAACUACGUG